rnacentral:rRNA from 1 species
AGUGAACGCUGGCGGUAGGCCUAACACAUGCAAGUCGAACGGCAGCACAGUAAGAGCUUGCUCUUACGGGUGGCGAGUGGCGGACGGGUGAGGAAUACAUCGGAAUCUACUUUUUCGUGGGGGAAAACGUAGGAAACCUUACGCUAUAACCCCUUACACCCUACGGGUGAAACCAGGGAACCUUCGGCCUUUGGGCGAUUAAAUGACCCGUUGUCGGAUUAGCUAGUUGGCGGGGUAAAGGCCCACCAAGCCGACGAUCCGUAGCUGGUCUGAGAGGAUGAUCAGCCACACUGGAACUGAGACACGGUCCAGACUCCUACGGGAGGCAGCAGUGGGGAAUAUUGGACAAUGGGCGCAAGCCUGAUCCAGCCAUACCGCGUGGGUGAAGAAGGCCUUCGGGUUGUAAAGCCCUUUUGUUGGGAAAGAAAAGCAGCAGGUUAAUACCCCGCUGUUCUGACGGUACCCAAAGAAUAAGCACCGGCUAACUUCGU